rnacentral:lncRNA from 1 species
GACGGUACAGCCCAUAGGUGGCAGCAAGAAUGCCUGCAUCAGAGAGGAAGAUCUGAGCGCGCUCACGAUCAGAGUAGAUAGGACUCUGAGGGUCGAAGUGGCAUGCAAACCGGUCGUAAGGCCUUCCGGAGACAUUGAACAUAAGGUACAGAGGCCAGCCUAGAGUGAGCUGGACAAAGAGAGUGAUGACUCUGCCAGGUGGGUUGUUCAGGUACUUGGUAGACCAGCUGACCCCUGACUUGACCUUUGGGACAAACACCUCAUCCUUCUCAAGUGAGCCAGUGUUUGAGUGGUGGCGACGGUGGCUGUACUUCCAAGAGAAGUACGGCACAAGGAGGAAUGAGUGCAGGAUUAGGCCG